AUGGAGGUGGGUGCGGGUGCGGAGGUGGAGGAGGCGACAGAGGACGGGGAGAUCGGCGGAGAAGGCUCGGAAGCGGAGGAGGAGGGGGAGGGGGACGGGACCGGGUGGGAGGACGACGGCGCGUUCGAGGGGAAGGGGUCGAGGCCGCUGGUCUCGGCGGGGAGCCGCGGGUCCUGGAGGGGGAGGGGCGGGAGGGGCAGAGGAGGGUUUCACCACCGCGCUUGGUACGGCGACAGGAAUCUGCCACACCACAAAUUGGACAUAUUCAGCAUACCUGGUGUAUAUGGUGGUGCUAUUAUCCUCUGCAAUCAUGUGACUAAGCUGGAGAGCUUCAAGCAGAAACUUUUUGCCCUUCCUGAUUAUGCUACAUCAUUUAUAAGGAAGAUCAGAGCUGGUAUGCUUCUCUUUGUGUUUGAGCGUGAGGAGAAAAAACUGUCUGGUGUGUUUGAGGCAACUUCAGAUGGAGCACUGAAUAUCCUUCCUAAUGCAUUUCGUUCAUCACGGAAGCCCAGACCAGCCCAGGUACGUUUCAGAAGAGUUUGGUUCUGUAAGCCCAUGACGGAAGCUGAAUUUUCUGAUGAAAUCAAAGGACUUCAACCCCAAAUGUCUUUCUUUGGUAUAUCAUACCAGCAGGUUUUAAAUCUUGUACACCUGUUUUCUUCAAAGAGGAUCAGUCUGGAGCCUUACAAGAAACCAAAAUCAAGAGUUAUAUCGGAUUACAAUGUCUCGCUGGCUCGUGCUGGACUAGAGUCCAGUUUACACACUGGUGGCAAUGCCUUCCCUAACCGUUCAUCUUCUAUGCUAUGCAACAACAGAAUCUCGGCACCACACAGUCCCUUCAUGUAUGGCAAACAAAAUGCCAAGCAUGCUGCUUAUAACCAUGAAUCUUCUUUGCACCCUCAUAUUAAGUCUGUGAUCUUCAAAGCGCCGGAUAUCAAAGCGCAAGACUUGGAACCAAAUGCUGAUUUUAUACCACUUGAUCUAGAUGAUUAUAAGUCUGACAGUGAUGCAGUCCCUUCAGAUCUACUGGGACCUGCAGGCUUAUAUUUAGCAUUGCCAGGCAGCAUCAUCAAUGAAGAUCAAGAUCCUGAACCUUUCAAUGUCAAGCACAAUGAGGUUGACAUGUAUCCUGCACCUGUGCUGAGCCAAAGCUUCCAUUCUCUAUGCGAAACAAGUCAAAACAGUGCCAUUGCUCAUUUCAUGAAAGAGAGGCAAUCAAGCAUGCAGGGCAGGGGGUGCAAACGCAUGUCAACCCUCCAGUUUGAUGGACACUCACAUCUCCCAUCCCCAAGGAGUUCCACUAUAGCAAAGAAGGUGUCAUUUAGCUUUGAUGGUGAUGAAAUUUCGGUUACCUCUGAUAAAGCAUUGAACAGACCUGCACUUGCUGAACUCAAACAAAACAGAGAAGCAGUUACCAAAGAAAGAAAGCAACAGGUCAGUUACUCGGUUCAGGGCACACAAAGCAAGAGUGGAGAUGAUUCGAAAAAGAGGAGUAAGCUGAUGAGCCUUUCCUUCGCAGAAAGAGUUGCUAGUCUACAUGUCAAGAGCUGCUUCGGCAAUAGCCAGUCACUGCUGAUGCAGUCAAGCAAGCUGUCCUGCACACUUCUGCCCAAUGAGGAAUGA
rnacentral:rRNA from 1 species